rnacentral:lncRNA from 1 species
GUGAUUCCAUCUAGGGUCCAGGUCUUGGACCACCUGAGUUCUGACUGGGAGGGCAGUCUGUCACUGGGGGAAAAAGAAACCAGGGAGGCUGACUAGAAAGGGAUGUUACUCUGGGUUGUGGCUUGUUAGUGUGACUGAACAUAAUGGAAGAAUUGUCUGGUUCAUGCCUCACAGAAUCCCCCUAACUGAAGGAGUGCGGAUUCCCUGGUCCAAUCAAGAGGCUGAGCUUAGCUACGUCAUCAGUUACCAGGGAUGGCUGCUCCUGGAGGCGUCCACAGCGCCACAGCCUUCUCCAGCUCUAGGAUAUGAGUCUCCUGAAGUGGGUGCACGUAAAUCACUUUUGACAUCUACACUAUUAAGCUGAAGUGCAGUAAGCGCCAGGCUAAAGGUGCCUGGCUACACAGUCGUCUUCCUUCACCUCCUUUGCUCUCGCACAGCUUCAAAUACAACAGUUGUCCUAACAGCUUUAUGUAGGAAAAGACUCAGCGAGUGUGGUGUCUUUUCAGACACUUGUGCAACCUGAAGGAGUUCAUGUGCUUUGAUAGCAAUAUGGAAGUCAGAGUCGGGUGUGAGCUCCUUUGAAAGAUUAUAGAUGGUCGUGGAUCACCAUGUGGGCACUGAGUCCUGGGUCCACUGGAAGAGCAGCCAGCGGUCAUAACCACUGAAACAUCUCUCCAUCCCCACUAAAUAUAUAAGCCAUUAUGAGCCAUGGUAAAGAAGGGAAGCAAGAUCCUUCUGGAAGCCCGAAUUGUGAGGGUGGAGAAAAGCAACUUCAGAUGUGCAGGAUGAAUACCACCCAGGGAAACAGGAGCUGCAAGGGGAGAAACGCGGGUAACGUGGUGUCCAAAGCCAAAGUCCACUAUGGAUGAAGGAAGAAAUAGAGUAUGGGACAGUAGCCAGUGGAUCGGGGACUCUUCACUUCUGCAUCUCUCCUGCCUCGUGGUCUCUUCCUGGCUGAACCAACAUCUCAGGAAGGAGUCAGUUUCAGGGAAUCCCUGGCUAUGUUCUGAUCUAUGUCAGCAGAGAUUACAAUGGCUUUGGUGUGGUGGUUUGGCCCAGGGAGUGGCACUGUUUGGAGGUGUGGCCCUGUUGGAGUAGGUGUGUCACUGUGGGUGUGGGCUUUAAGACCCUCAUCUUAGCUCCCUGGAAGCCAGUCUUCUCCCUAGUGGCCUUCAGUUGAAGAUGUAGAACUCUUAGCUCCUCCUGAACCAUGCCUGCCCAGUCUCUUCUAUGAUCCUGCCUUGAUGAUAAUGGACUGAACAUCUGAACCUGUAAGCCAGCCCAAAUUAAAUGUUGUCCUUAUAAGA